rnacentral:miRNA from 1 species
CUUGGCCUCAGGUGAGAUGAGGGCUCAUGGCCCUGAUGCCCUCCUCUCCUCCUUCCUCAG